AGAGUUUGAUCCUGGCUCAGGAUGAACGCUGGCGGCAUGCCUAAGACAUGCAAGUCGAACGAAGUGGCCUAUUGAAAAUGGAGUGCUUGCACAAAGUUGGAUAUAGAUUACCACUUAGUGGCAGACGGGUGAGUAACGCGUGGGUAACCUGCCUCGGAGACUGGGAUAACUAUUGGAAACGAUAGCUAAUACCGGAUGAUUCAUAGAUACAAAAGUAACUAUGCUAAAAGGAGCUACGGCUUCACUUCGAGAUGGGCUUGCGUUGUAUUAGCUAGUUGGUGGGGUAAUGGCCUACCAAGGCAACGAUGCAUAUCCGAGCUGAGAGGCUGAUCGGACACACUGGGACUGAGACACGGCCCAG
rnacentral:rRNA from 1 species